UACGGAGGACCCGAGCGUUAUCCGGAUUCAUUGGGUUUAAAGGGUGCGUAGGCGGACCUGUAAGUCAGUGGUGAAAUCCCUUCGCUUAACGAAGGAACUGCCAUUGAUACUGCUGGUCUUGAGUACAGUUGAGGUGGGCGGAAUGUGUCGUGUAGCGGUGAAAUGCUUAGAUAUGACACAGAACACCGAAUGCGAAGGCAGCUCGCUAAACUGUAACUGACGCUGAGGCACGAAAGCGUGGGUAGCAAACAGG
rnacentral:rRNA from 1 species